UACGUAGGGUGCGAGCGUUGUCCGGAAUUAUUGGGCGUAAAGAGCUUGUAGGUGGUUUGUCGCGUCUGCUGUGAAAAUCCGAGGCUCAACCUCGGACUUGCAGUGGGUACGGGCAGACUAGAGUGUGGUAGGGGAGACUGGAAUUCCUGGUGUAGCGGUGGAAUGCGCAGAUAUCGGGAAGAACACCCGUGGCGAAGGCGGCUCUCUGGGACGGUACUGACGCUGAGACGCGAAAGCGUGGGGAGCGAACAGG
rnacentral:rRNA from 1 species